rnacentral:lncRNA from 1 species
AUGCACGGGUGAGGAUUCUACACCUGACCCGAGUCAAGCUGUUGCUGGUGGUGUUGAUAUAUGCACGGGUGAGGAUUCUACACCUGACCCUAGUCAAGCUGUUGCUGGUGGUGUUGAUGCCUCUCAGUGCAUUGCAGAAUC